rnacentral:rRNA from 1 species
GGAGCGACCUAGGGCAAAACUGGUAACUGGGGCUAAGUCGUAACAAGGUAGCCGUACCGGAAGGUGUGGCUGGAACACCUCCUUUUUGGAGCU